rnacentral:rRNA from 1 species
CGUCCUACGGGGGGCAGCAGUGAGGAAUAUUGGUCAAUGGGCGCGAGCCUGAACCAGCCAAGUCGCGUGAGGGAAGACGGUCCUAUGGAUUGUAAACCUCUUUUGUCGGGGAGCAAAAGACGCCACGCGUGGCGUUCCGAGAGUACCCGAAGAAAAAGCAUCGGCUAACUCCGUGCCAGCAGCCGCGGGAAUACGGAGGAUGCGAGCGUUCUCCGGCUUUAUUGGGCGUAAAGGGAACGCAGGCGGUCUUUUAAGUCUGAUGUGCAAGCCUUCGGCUUAACCGGAGUAGGGCAUUGGAAACUGGG